GAUGAACGCUGGCGGCGUGCUUAACACAUGCCAGUCGAACGAUGAAGCCCAGCUUGCUGGGUGGAUUAGUGGCGAACGGGUGAGUAACGCGUGAGUAACCUGCCCUUAACUCUGGGAUAAGCCUGGGAAACUGGGUCUAAUACCGGAUAGGAGCGUCCACCGCAUGGUGGGUGUUGGAAAGAUUUAUCGGUUUUGGAUGGACUCGCGGCCUAUCAGCUUGUUGGUGAGGUAAUGGCUCACUAAGGCGACGACGGGUAGCCGGCCUGAGAGGGUGACCGGCCACACUGGGACUGAGACACGGCCCAGACUCCUACGGGAGGCAGCAGUGGGGAAUAUUGCACAAUGGGCGCAAGCCUGAUGCAGCGACGCCGCGUGAGGGAUGACGGCCUUCGGGUUGUAAACCUCUUUCAGUAGGGAAGAAGCGAAAGUGACGGUACCUGCAGAAGAAGCACCGGCUAACUACGUG
rnacentral:rRNA from 1 species